rnacentral:rRNA from 1 species
ACGCUGGCGGCGUGCCUAAUACAUGCAAGUCGAGCGAAUGGAUUGAGAGCUUGCUCUCAAGAAGUUAGCGGCGGACGGGUGAGUAACACGUGGGUAACCUGCCCAUAAGACUGGGAUAACUCCGGGAAACCGGGGCUAAUACCGGAUAACAUUUUGAACUGCAUGGUUCGAAAUUGAAAGGCGGCUUCGGCUGUCACUUAUGGAUGGACCCGCGUCGCAUUAGCUAGUUGGUGAGGUAACGGCUCACCAAGGCAACGAUGCGUAGCCGACCUGAGAGGGUGAUCGGCCACACUGGGACUGAGACACGGCCCAGACUCCUACGGGAGGCAGCAGUAGGGAAUCUUCCGCAAUGGACGAAAGUCUGACGGAGCAACGCCGCGUGAGUGAUGAAGGCUUUCGGGUCGUAAAACUCUGUUGUUAGGGAAGAACAAGUGUUAGUUGAAUAAGCUGGCACCUUGACGGUACCUAACCAGAAAGCCGCGGCUAACUACGUGCCAGCAGCCGCGGUAAUACGUAGGUGGCAAGCGUUAUCCGGAAUUAUUGGGCGUAAAGCGCGCGCAGGUGGUUUCUUAAGUCUGAUGUGAAAGCCCACGGCUCACCCGUGGAGGGUCAUUGGAAACUGGGAGACUUGAGUGCAGAAGAGGAAAGUGGAAUUCCAUGUGUUCCCGGGA